AUUGAACGCUGGCGGCAGGCCUAACACAUGCAAGUCGAGCGAGCGGCGGACGGGGGAGGAAUGUAUGGGGACUGCCCGAUAGAGGGGGAUAACUACUGGAAACGGUAGCUAAUACCGCAUACUAUCGGGUCACCCAUAUUGGAUUAGCUAGUAGUUGAGGUAAUGGAUCACCUAGGCGACGAUCCCUAGCUGGUCUGAGAGGAUGAUCAGCCACACUGGGACUGAGACCCGGCCCAGACCCCAACGGAGGCAGCAGUGGGGAAUAUUGCACAAUGGGCGCAAGCCUGAUGCAGCCAGGCCGCGUGUAUGAAGAAGGCACUAGGGUUGUAAAGUACGUUCAUUCGGCAGGCGUUACCGACAGAAGAAGCACCGGCUAACUCCGUGCCAGCAGCCGCGGUAAUAC
rnacentral:rRNA from 1 species